UACGAAGGGGGCGAGCGUUGUUCGGAAUUACUGGGCGUAAAGGGCGCGUAGGCGGCGACCCAAGUCAGAUGUGAAAGUCCUGGGCUUAACCUGGGGACUGCAUUUGAUACUGGGUUGCUUGAAUGCAGGAGAGGAUAGCGGAAUUCCCAGUGUAGAGGUGAAAUUCGUAGAUAUUGGGAAGAACACCGGUGGCGAAGGCGGCUCACUGGCUCAUUUCUGACGCUCAGGCGCGACAGCGUGGGGAUCAAACAGG
rnacentral:rRNA from 1 species